AAUCAGUCUCCACACCCUGCUGUGACUAUAAGAGUCUGGAGACGUCCGAUAUCGUUCUCUUCUUGGGAAUGUAGACGACCUGACAAACACAGGUUUCCCAGAGGCUCCAGAGCACUUUCCUCUGCCUCCUUGGAUUCCUUCCUUUUUCCAGACAGGCAGACGGUGAGUGUCUGAGAGAUUUCUGCGUUCGUACUGGCGGGAACACAAUAUGAGCUCAGAGAACGGGAAUAUACAAGGACCUGACUACACCACCGAAACCACACGGGAGGGAACAAUGCCCAACCUUGAGCGAGAUGUGCAGGGUGCAGAGGCAGGGAGGUCUCACUGUCUGCUCGAGGCAUUGAGCGUGAGAGAGAGAAGUCACAGUAUGGGGAGAUUAAUCGGCAUGAAGGCGAUGAAGCAAAAUAAACUUGCGGAAGACUGUGUCAUGUCACGAUCUGUUCACGCUCACGGUCCCACGGUGGUGGAAUGACCUCCAUGUCAGAACGGCAGAGUCUCUGACCUCCUUCAAGCGCAACUGAAGACCCAUCUCUUAAGGCUACACCUUUCCCUCCCCAAUUACCAUGAUUAGCCUUAGACUGUAAUGGCACUUAUGUAUAUAUAUCCUUACUUGUAUAGGUAUUGUUGUUUUUAUUGGCCGUUGUAUUGUUGUAUUCUAGCUGCCAACUGUGGUAUGCUAGUUUGAAAGUUGAUUGUACUCUUCAAGGGUUCUGAAUUUCUGUAUGUUUACGCUAGGACUCGGAACUGUACUGUCCUCUCGGGUCCUCUUGGCACUUGUUCUUGUGUUUGAUUUGCACUUUGUUGUACGUCGCUCUGCAUAAGUACGUCUGCUAAAUGCCAUGUAAUGUAAUGUAAUGUAAUGUUACACUCUGUAAAGUGUCUCAUAAAAAAUGCAAAAUGAAAGGAAUACCUUUUUUUGUAUCUAUAGUGGCAUCUGUGGUGUUAUGGGUCAAAACUGACUUUUGUUAGGAAAAAAGGUCAAACCUUUAUUUUGUUCAAAAUAACACAUUCAAAUAGAAAAUAAACAAAAGGGUUGCUCAAAUCA